CCUACGGGAGGCAGCAGUGAGGAAUAUUGGUCAAUGGGCGGAAGCCUGAACCAGCCAAGUAGCGUGCGGGAUGAAGGCCCUACGGGUCGUAAACCGCUUUUGCACGGGGAUAACACCCUCCACUUGUGCAGGUCUGCAUGUACUGUGCGAAUAAGGGUCGGCUAAUUCCGUGCCAGCAGCCGCGGUAAUACGGAAGGCCCGAGCGUUAUCCGGAUUCAUUGGGCUUAAAGGGAGCGUGGGUGGGUGUUCAAGUCAGCGGUAAAAUUGCGCGGCUCAACCGCGCCCCGCAGUUGAAACUGGACGCCUUGAGUUCACAACAGGCAGGCGGAAUUCGUGGUGUAGCGGUGAAAUGCAUAGAUAUCACGAAGAACCCCGAUUGCGAAGGCAGCCUGCCGGGGUGCGACUGACGCUGAGGCUCGAAGGUGCGGGUAUCAAACAGGAUUAGAUACCCGAGUAGUC
rnacentral:rRNA from 1 species